AGUGAACGCUGGCGGUAGGCCUAACACAUGCAAGUCGAACGGCAGCACAGAGGAGCUUGCUCCUUGGGUGGCGAGUGGCGGACGGGUGAGGAAUACAUCGGAAUCUACUCUGUCGUGGGGGAUAACGUAGGGAAACUUACGCUAAUACCGCAUACGACCUACGGGUGAAAGCAGGGGAUCUUCGGACCUUGCGCGAUUGAAUGAGCCGAUGUCGGAUUAGCUAGUUGGCGGGGUAAAGGCCCACCAAGGCGACGAUCCGUAGCUGGUCUGAGAGGAUGAUCAGCCACACUGGAACUGAGACACGGUCCAGGCUCCUACGGGAGGCAGCAGUGGGGAAUAUUGGACAAUGGGCGCAAGCCUGAUCCAGCCAUACCGCGUGGGUGAAGAAGGCCUUCGGGUUGUAAAGCCCUUUUGUUGGGAAAGAAAUCCAGCCGGCUAAUACCUGGUUGGGAUGACGGUACCCAAAGAAUAAGCACCGGCUAACUUCGUGCCAGCAGCCGCGGUAAUACGAAGGGUGCAAGCGUUACUCGGAAUUACUGGGCGUAAAGCGUGCGUAGGUGGUUAUUUAAGUCCGUUGUGAAAGCCCUGGGCUCAACCUGGGAACUGCAGUGGAUACUGGAUGACUAGAAUGUGGUAGAGGGUAGCGGAAUUCCUGGUGUAGCAGUGAAAUGCGUAGAGAUCAGGAGGAACAUCCAUGGCGAAGGCAGCUACCUGGACCAACAUUGACACUGAGGCACGAAAGCGUGGGGAGCAAACAGG
rnacentral:rRNA from 1 species